rnacentral:rRNA from 1 species
GAUCCUAGCUCAGGAUGAACGCUAGCUACAGGCUUAACACAUGCAAGUCGAGGGGCAGCAUUCUUCUAGCAAUAGAAGAGAUGGCGACCGGCGCACGGGUGAGUAACACGUAUCCAACCUACCGAUAACUCCGGAAUAGCCUUUCGAAAGAAAGAUUAAUACCGGAUAGUAUACGAAUAUCGCAUGAUAUUUUUAUUAAAGAAUUUCGGUUAUCGAUGGGGAUGCGUUCCAUUAGUUUGUUGGCGGGGUAACGG